rnacentral:rRNA from 1 species
UACGUAGGUGGCGAGCGUUGUCCGGAUUUACUGGGCGUAAAGAGCGCGCAGGCGGUCGUGCAAGUCGCGUGUGAAAGCCCCCCGGCUCAACUGGGGAGGGUCACGCGAUACUGAUCGACUCGAAGGCAGGAGAGGGUAGUGGAAUUCCCGGUGUAGUGGUGAAAUGCGUAGAUAUGCGGAGGAACACCGAUGGCGAAGGCAAUCCCCUGGGCCUGCACUGACGCUCAUGCACGAAAGCGUGGGGAGCAAACAGG